GAAGUCUGACGAGCAAUACCGCGUGAGGGAUGAAGGCCUACGGGUUGUAAACCUCUUUUCUCUAGGAGGAAGAUCUGACGUUACCUUGAGGAAUAAGCAUCGGCUAACCCUGCUGCCAGCAGCCGCGGUAAUACAGGGGAUGCAAGUGUUAUCCGGAAUUAUUGGGCGUAAAGCGUCUGCAGGUGGGUAAAUAAGUCCUUUGUUAAAUCUCUGGGCUCAACUCAGAAUCUGCAAAAGAAACUAUUUAUCUUGAGUAUGGUAGAGGUAAGGGGAAUUUCCAGUGGAGCGGUGAAAUGCGUACAUAUUGGAAAGAACACCAACAGCGAAGGCACCUUACUGGGCCAGUACUGACACUCA
rnacentral:rRNA from 1 species